CCUUUCAUUUCUACAAAGAAAUGAGCCGGAUCCUGGUCACAGCCUGAGACCCUAUGCUGUCCUGCGAGCUCCCAUGAAGAAUUAACUCAGCCUGUGCGUAUUAGUCAGCUUGGGCUGCCAUUACAAAAUACCAGUCUGAGUGGCUUAAAGAACAGAAAUCUAUUUCCUCACAGUUAUGAAGGAUGGAAGUUCAAGAUCAAGAUUUUUUUUAAAGGAAACUCCACCCAAUGCGGGACUAGAACUCAUGACCCCAAGAUCAAGAGUCACAUGCUUUACCAACCGAGCCAGCCAAGUUCCCCAAGGUGGGUUUUUUUUUUUUUUAACUUUCAGAGCUUAAUCUGAUUAUCUUAAUUUUAAAAAUUAUGUAAAUAUCCUUUCUCACCCUCCAUAAAAGGAGAAAUUUGAAGAUUAGUGAAAAAUAAAUUGAAGGUGGCUCAGAGAGCCAAACUCAACUAAUAUGAGGCCUCAACAAAAAUAGACUCAGGAAAGAGACAAAUGCUUAUUCACCACAACAGAACAAGAAUUAUCUUUUUUAUAGCUUGGGGUAAAAGUUAUGUUAUUGGAACAAACAGGUAAAAUUUCAAAAGAAAACCCGAGCCAUUAUUGAUAGAAAGUACCUAUGAUAGUCCUUUCCCACUUCCUCAGUGAAACUGUGGAUUUGUCAAAAUUAAUGCACCCACCAGCAAAGAAAGAUGGUAAAUUCAGUUCAACAGAUAUAGGUAGGGUACCUAGUACAUGACAAGCACUGUUAGUAGACAAUUUGGGAGACAGUAGUAGAUAAAAUAAAGACUCCUGGUUUCAUGAAACGUGCACUCUAGCUUGAGAUGUGUGGGAGAGUUUCCUUCAAUCACUUAAAUCACACGUUCCUGUCACUCAAAUAGAUUAGAUGAAAUGUGUAAGAGCUUACACUCUCAAUCCAGGCCUCAUGGGACUUCCAUAAUUAAAACCCCACUAAACAUCAGUAUAUAACCUAAAAUUAUAAAACAUACAAUGAAACAAUUUGGCAUGGGUGCUAUCAGGGAGUAUCUCAAAAAAGGAUUAGAUAUUAAAAUUAUGGAACUACUAUAAAAUCAGAACAGAAUGUUUAAAACAAAGACAAAAAUGGGAAUCAAAGCAUAAAUAAAGGAAUAAGAUACAACCAAAACAAAGCAAGGAGGAUUGAAAAAAUUUUGGAAUUUCUAGGAAAAAAAAUAACACAUUGAAAUUUUUAAAAACUAUGAUGCAAGGCAACUUCUCUGGGUACAUAACAUCUAAAAGUGCUGGAAAUUGUAAAACAUCACUACCAACAACUUACUACAAUAAUACUGAUGUAAAUGUACAGAUAUAAAUCGCAAGGAAAAUCAGAAAAUAUCUGGAGAUAAAUGAAAACAAAAACAAUAUACUAAAACUUAUGGGUGUACUAAAAGUAGUGCGAAGAGGGAAAUUUGUAGCUAUAAAUGCUUAUGUUCAAAAAGAAGAGGAGUGCCUGGGUGGCUCAGUCGGUUAAGCGUCCAACUUCAGCUCAGGUCAUGAUCCCGUGGUUUGUGGGUUCGAGCCCCGAGUCGGGCUCUGUGCUGACAGCUCGGAGCCUGGAGCCUGCUUCAGAUUCUGUGUCUCCCUCUCUCUCUGCCCUCCCCCGCUUGCACUCUGUCUCUCUCUCUCCCUCUCAAAAAUAAAUAAACAUUUUAAAAAAAAUUUUUAAAAAGAAAAAAAGAAAGAAAAAGAAGAAAAAUCUCAAAUUAAUAAGCUAAUUGUAUACCUUAAGGAAGUAGGGGGAAAAAGGGCAAACUGAACCCUAAAGCAGCAGAAAUAAGGAAAUUCAGAGUGGAGAGAAACUAAAAUAAAGCAUAGGAAAAAAAAAAUCAGUGAAACUGAAAGUUGAUUCUUUGAAAAGAUCAACAAAAUCAAUAAGCUGCUGAUUGAAUUAGACUAAGAAAAAAGAAGAGUUAAAUUACUAAAAUUAAAGUGGGGAUAUUACAAUGGAAUACACAGAAAUAAAAAGGAUUAUGAUACUCUGAAAAUAGUAUGCCAACAAACUGAAUAACCUAGAUGAAAUAGAGGAAAUAGACAAAUUUCUAGAAAUACACAAACUUCCAAAACUUACACAAAAGGAAUAGAAAAAUCCCAACAAUCUGUAACAAAUAGGGGGAUGAAACUGGUAAUCAAAAAUCUCCUGACAGGGGCGCCUGGAUGAUUCAGUUGGUUGAGGAUCAGACUCUUAAUUUCGUUUGGCUCAGGUCAUGAGUUCAUGAGUUCAAGCCCUGUAUGGGGCUUGGAGUGUGGAACCUACUUAAGAUUCUCUGUCUCUGUCUCUCCCUCCUCCCCUCCCUCCCUCUCCCUCUGUUCCUUCCCCUGCUCACUUGUUCUCCUUCUCUAAAAAAAAAAAAAAAAAAAAAAUCCCUGAACAGAGAAAAGCCCAAGACUAGAUGUCUUCAUUGUACAUU